GAUGAACGCUGGCGGCGUGCCUAAUACAUGCCAGUCGAGCGAACAGACGAGGAGCUUGCUCCUCUGACGUUAGCGGCGGACGGGUGAGUAACACGUGGAUAACCUACCUAUAAGACUGGGAUAACUUCGGGAAACCGGAGCUAAUACCGGAUAAUAUAUUGAACCGCAUGGUUCAAUAGUGAAAGACGGUUUUGCUGUCACUUAUAGAUGGAUCCGCGCCGCAUUAGCUAGUUGGUAAGGUAACGGGUUACCAAGGCAACGAUGCGUAGCCGACCUGAGAGGGUGAUCGGCCACACUGGAACUGAGACACGGUCCAGACUCCUACGGGAGGCAGCAGUAGGGAAUCUUCCGGAAUGGGCGAAAGCCUGACGGAGCAACGCCGCGUGAGUGAUGAAGGUCUUCGGAUCGUAAAACUCUGUUAUUAGGGAAGAACAAAUGUGUAAGUAACUAUGCACGUCUUGACGGUACCUAAUCAGAAAGCCACGGCUAACUACGUG
rnacentral:rRNA from 1 species